ensembl:lncRNA
AAAUAGUCCGAUUCAACAAGAGAUAUUAAAAUGGAUACAUCUCAAACACAAGGAAAAAAGGUUGUGGGACAAAAUUCUAGCCUUGGAAAGGAAGUCUGGGAUGGAUCAGUUCAUGACAAGAAUGAGGGCCACGUUCCCCAUGAGGUGGCCAUGUGGUAGCCCAGAAAAGAUUCAAUCUCUGGUGCACAAGCUUUCGCAACAAGGGAAAGAUCCAGCAGACAACAGACAGAUGGGUGGUCUAAUGGCCCCGCAGACACCAGAAGAUGACAAAAAACAAGGUGACACUGAAUUAAAAUCUGCAAGGCUCAAAUGGACACCCCAAGACAUCCAUAAAUGUGCAGUCCAAGUGAAAAGAGAGUGGGAAUCAUGGGAUCGAUGGAGGCCAGAGUGGGGUUGUCUUUGCCCCAAGAGAGCAGACGUUGUGAGGCAUGAAGGGAGAACGGCACCCCUGCCUAUGACAGUUACGUAUAGAACGGACGAAGAGCUGACAAAGCUGGAGACACUGAGGAUGAGGGUAGCACUGCUGCAACAGGAGGUUUGUCUAGAAACGGCUUUGUCCGACACUUUGUCUCCACACCUUUCUUCAGUUGUGCAAAAACCUGUAAAUCCCAGUCUUCUGAGAGACCUCUAUUCUGUGCUGGGGGAAGGAGGGGAGGGGUUUCCUGCCAUAGUACUUGUCUCUGAACCUGACUCCUGAGAAUACACAGUGGACCCUGUAAAGCUGACCACAAGCCCAGCCCAGCAGUUGCUGAUCGGUAUUGGGAUCUACCAGCCCACAGGCUCAGCAUGGGCUGUGCCACUGGCCACUUGGCUCUUCAAACCCAGCCGCCAACCACCUUAGGGCAUGAGGCUCACUCCCUGGAGGCCGGUGCUGCCAAAGUCCCAGAUGCACUUUCAUCACUGGAGCGUCUUUCCCAAGCCACUGGAGGCAUGGAGAAAUCUUGGUACCGCUGUAUCUUUCCUUUUGGAAUUAUCUCCUUGGUGAUUGGUGUAGCGGGAACUGGAGUAACUUACACUUAUAAUGAUCUGCCUCAGACUAAGGUGGUAUCUGUAGUGCUAUUAGUGUUGGGCAUUUUGCUCCUGCUGAUGGCCACUGCGUGUUGGACUGCUCAUAAGAAGAAAAGAAGGAAAAAGAAGGAAGCAGUCUCAUUAAAUUCUGAACCAUGCCAACUGUGAAGCGAAGCAAGUUGUCUAAACACCUGCCAAAUCUGACUUUAUUUUGUAACUGCAAAGUUUGACUGGGUUAAAACUAGCGGAAGAUAAAGUGAGUACGUUUUCAGAAUGCAUACAAAUAUGUCUAUAGAGAGAAAGACAGCAUGUCGCGUGGAUCUGUUUGUGGAGGCAUCACAAACACUACUUUAUCAGACAGGUAUCCAGUGUCAAAACAAGCUCAGAGGAGACCCUUCACAAAUAUGUAUUGCAUACUGCACACAUAUUUACAUGCACAGAAACGCGACUCUCACACCCCUCACCAGAGGUCGGAGUGUGUCUAAGAUGAUAUGCAGAACUGCUGCUGGAGCAAGUGCUCACGUCACAAGGGACGUCAGUCACAGCAUUCCUACUGCUGGGACAGGUGACCCUCCAAGAGGCCAGAAGUGGGCCAAAGACCGCAACUCGACACCCAUCCAAAUAAGCUGUGCAACCGCGUCAACGGCCAGCGUCAUUCACUCAUCCUGUGACACCGCAGCAAUGUGCAGGGGGGGCUUUUUACGCAAUGGGACAGUGGAACUUGAGUCGUUGAAGAUCUUGCUGGAAUCUGCAUGGAGGAAAACUUUGAGACCAACUUGUUAUGUGAGUCUAAAAACAGAUGAGGAACUUAAAGAUUGUCAAAGAUUUGCACAUUUGGUUUUGUCAAAAGAACAUUUUAUAGUUACUGCUCAAAGGACAAAACUGCUGGCGUACUGACAGUUUGCCCUUCUGGGAGUGUUCAAGCAUGUCUACGUGGAGCCCUCACAUCAGGAUAGGCAGACUGGGAUUACAAAAGGGCAUUGCCUAGGGUCCUACUAGUACAGAGAAACUGUAACAGAAGCCCUUGUCUAAAGCACUUCUUUUUAAAUGCCUCGCACUUAAGGAACAAGCCUGUCACAUUCCCAUUUUCAGAUUAUUUUCUGAGCCAUAUGUAGAUUUUUCUAUAGUAUUCAAAAACCUUUCAUACUUAGAAAAUGGCGAUUA